GUCCUCGUGGCCAAGUUGGUUAAGGCUUCACGCUUAUAAUACGAAGACAUGUACAUGUAUCGUAUCGUGACGAUCGGCGGUUCGAGCCCGCCCGGGGACA